AUUGAACGCUGGCGGCAGGCCUAACACAUGCAAGUCGAGCGAGCGGCGGACGGGUGAGUAAUGUCUGGGAAACUGCCUGCUGGAGGGGGAUAACUACUGGAAACGGUAGCUAAUACCGCAUACCAUCAGAUGUGCCCAGAUUGGAUUAGCUAGUAGGUGGGGUAAUGGCUCACCUAGGCUACGAUCCCUAGCUGGUCUGAGAGGAUGCACAGCAACACUGGAACGUAGACACGGUCCAGACUCAUACGGAAGGCAGCAGUGGGGAAUAUUGCACAAUGGGCGCAAGCCUGAGGCAGCCAGGCGGCGUGUGUGAAGAAGGCCUUCGGGUUGUAAAGCACUUUCAGCGAGGAGGCGUUACUCGCAGAAGAAGCACCGGCUAACUCCGUGCCAGCAGCCGCGGUAAUUC
rnacentral:rRNA from 1 species